UUUGGCGAGAGUAGUAUUAGGAUGGUUGACCCCCUGGGAAGUCCUCGUGUUGCAUCCCU
rnacentral:rRNA from 1 species